GAAUUGUUAAACUUUCCGUGAACAUAUGCUGCGGAUUUGUACAGAACCAUCCUUUUGUUUCAAGUGUAGUGUUUUUCUUGUUUGUUCUGUACUUGUUUCUUCCUAAAGUUGUCCUUUUCUUGCUUUACUCUUCCCCAUUUCUUGCCUGCACGGCUGUCUUUAUCCGAGUUUAUUUUCAUUCGCAACAUUCGAAGACCCAAAAUGAUGUGAAGGAUGAGAAUAAGGAUCAUGCAUUUACAUCUACAAAAUCCGAGCCUCAAACAGCUGAUCUUGUUUUCGGUAGAAAUGACAAGUCUUCUGUACAAUCUCAAGCACUAUCACAUAGAAAUGUUAAAGAGAAAUACAAAGAAUUGGAAUCACAAGCACUUAUGGAGGAGAAGAACAAGGUUUCCUCAACAAUUCCUAAAGAUGAUUCCAUUGGUAGAGCUGUCCUGAAUGAAGUAAAACCAAGAGAAAUCACAGAAAAGGAUCAUGGAAAGGGUGUCUCACGCAGUGUCUUCAUUGGUGAAAAUAUUGGAGCAUUAGGUAAAGCAUCAAAGCCUAAUCUUACAUCCUUGGAUGGCUUGGAAGAGAAGGCUGCAAAAUGUGAUGGUGGUGGUAAGGCAGAUUUGGAAAACUCAAGUUCUGAAGAGGACGAUGAAGAAGAAGGGACAAAAGGAGGCAGGGGUAAGGCUGUGGAAUGGACUGAAAAUGAUCAAAAGAAUGUUAUGGAUCUUGGGAUAACGGAGCUAGAAAGAAACAAGAGGCUAGAAAGCCUAAUUGCGAGACGCAGAGAAAGAAAGUCAUUCAAAAUGCAAACAGAGAAAAUUCUUCUUAAUGUGAACAGUGGUAGUCCAAUUCCAGUCGUUCCAGUUUUAGUUGCAAGAGGCAAUCCUUUUGAUGUUCCCAAUAACCCAGAUGAACAAGUUCCUGGUUCAGCCCCUUCUGUCUUGUUGCCAACUCGGAAUCCAUUCGACCUUCCAUAUGAUCCAUUUGAAGAAAAACCCAAUCUCAUGGCAGACAGUUUCCAGCGAGAAUUCAUGGCAGCGCACCAGAGAGAGAUGCUUUUCUGCAGGCAUGAAAGCUUCACUUUGGGACCUUUUUUUCCACUGGAAGGGAAGCACAAUGAGUAUGACAUUGCAGGAAACACCAGGUUAAGAAGGCAGCAGGGUAAGGCAACCUUUUUCUUUUUCUUCCCCUUUUUUUGAAUGCCUUAUAUUCUUCAUCUCAUAAAGAAAAAGAAAACAGCAAGUUCUGCUACUUGGCUGAAUCAAUAAACAUUUUGCAGAUAAAGAAAAUCAUGACAGGCCAGUAGAUAAUUUAUUAUCCCAAAAUGGAGGAAACUUGCACCGUACUGUAAGUGUUACUGAUCUAGUAACAGAAGAAGAAGAAGGCGAAUCUUCCAACCCGGUUAGCAACCAAUCAGAUAAGGAUGGAGAAUUAGAUCACUAUAGGAUGGGAAUAGAAGGUAAAAGAAUAGAGAACACUCAUGGCAUGCAUUCAAGCUUAGGGACAGAAAGCAAAACUAAAAUGAGGACAAAUGCCAUAAAUCACAACAAAGAUAAGUCAAGCUCAUCAUCUUUACCAGAAGACAAAAGACAGAUCACCAAACCAAACAAACUUGAAGUUCUACCACCUGUUUUUAGAUUUCCUGAGGUGGUGAACAGUCCACCAAAUUCAGCUCCCUGUCCAAUUCCCAAGGCCAGAACUGUAAAUGAAUUCUCUUCUGAAGUCAGCCCAUUUACAAUUGACAGAUCAAGAUUAGAAAACCAUUUACUUUACACAAAUAAUGGGCCUUGGCAUACCCAUACCGAUUCCAUAGCUUCUGACAUGCAAGUGGAGGUCUCAGAAAUUGGUUCACCUCCAUUGACAGGAGAUGAAUCUGCUUCAUCUAGUAAUGGAGAUUCCUUGACUUAUGAUGGAGACAUAGAGAAGGAAAUUACUUCUGGCAGUGAAGAAAUGUGGGGACCCUCGCCUCAUGCACAUGAAAUGGCAAUUAGAGAAGUGAAUGAGGUAAUUGGGGAGGAUAUUGCAGGAGGCUUUUCAGGUUUCCAUAGGGAACCUCAGGAUCCAACUACAUCAGCUUCAAGAAUUGAAAUGCCUCAAGAGGGUCAAAUUCAUUCAAUUAAUUCUGAUCAUAUGAUAUUCAAUGACGUAGAACAGGUAGUUGAAGAAGUAGGGGAACAUGGGCCUCCUAAUGCAUUACACGCCGUUCCACCAGAAAAAUCAACUGAAGGAACUUACAAACCACAUGAAGGGUAUUUGCAUAGGUCACAGG
rnacentral:misc_RNA from 1 species